UACGUAGGGGGCAAGCGUUGUCCGGAUUUAUUGGGCGUAAAGAGCGUGUAGGCGGCCAUACAGGUCCGUUGUGAAAACUCGAGGCUCAACCUCGAGACGUCGAUGGAAACCGUAUGGCUAGAGUCCGGAAGAGGAGAGUGGAAUUCCUGGUGUAGCGGUGGAAUGCGUAGAGAUCCGGAAGAACACCGGUGGCGAAGGCGGCCUGCUGGGCAGUUGCUGACACUGAGGCGCGACAGCGUGGGGAGCAAACAGG
rnacentral:rRNA from 1 species